AAAAUAUUCAAACAAAAAUACAGAUUCAAAAGAUUCAAAAAAAAAAAUUCAAGAAACAAAACAGCGCGCUUUUUUUUCUUUCUCUCCCCUCCCCCCCCCCCCCCCCCUCCCUUUUUUUUUUUUUUUUUUUUUUUUU
rnacentral:ribozyme from 1 species